rnacentral:rRNA from 1 species
AAGAAACCAACAGGGAUUGCCCUAGUAACGGCGAGUGAAGCGGCAACAGCUCAAAUUUGAAAUCUGGCUUCGGCCCGAGUUGUAAUUUGCAGAGGAAGCUUUAGGCGCGGCACCUUCUGAGUCCCCUGGAACGGGGCGCCAUAGAGGGUGAGAGCCCCGUAUAGUUGGAUGCCUAGCCUGUGUAAAGCUCCUUCGACGAGUCGAGUAGUUUGGGAAUGCUGCUCAAAAUGGGAGGUAAAUUUCUUCUAAAGCUAAAUACCGGCCAGAGACCGAUAGCGCACAAGUAGAGUGAUCGAAAGAUGAAAAGCACUUUGAAAAGAGGGUUAAAUAGCACGUGAAAUUGUUGAAAGGGAAGCGCUUGUGACCAGACUUGCGCCGGGCGGAUCAUCCGGUGUUCUCACCGGUGCACUCCGCCCGGCUCAGGCCAGCAUCGGUUCUCGCGGGGGGAUAAAGGUCUCGGGAACGUAGCUCCUCCGGGAGUGUUAUAGCCCGGGGCGUAAUGCCCUCGCGGGGACCGAGGUUCGCGCAUCUGCAAGGAUGCUGGCGUAAUGGUCA